rnacentral:rRNA from 1 species
UACAGAGGGGGCAAGCGUUGUUCGGAAUUACUGGGCGUAAAGGGCGCGUAGGCGGCCCGCUAAGUCGAACGUGAAAUCCCCGAGCUCAACUCGGGAACUGCGUCCGAUACUGGCGGGCUUGAAUCCGGGAGAGGGAUGCGGAAUUCCAGGUGUAGCGGUGAAAUGCGUAGAUAUCUGGAGGAACACCGGUGGCGAAGGCGGCUCUCUGGGACGGUACUGACACUGAGACGCGAAAGCGUGGGGAGCGAACAGG